ACGUAUAGGGGCAAAAGACUAAUUAAACCUUCUAGUAGCUAGUUUCUGCUAAAGUUUCCCUUAGGAUAGUAGUAUUAAACUUAGUUUUAUAAGGUAAAGUAAAUAAUUAGGGACUUAGAGGCGCUAUAUAGCCUUUAUCUAUUCUUAAACUUUAAAUAUAUAAGAAGCCUUUAUUACUUAAUUAAACGUAGGUAUUUAAAUAUAUUAACACUAGUAGGCUAUUUUUAGUAAGUAGAACUAGUAAUAUAAGAUAAACUAAACGUAAGGUUAAGGUGCUAGAGUAGUUACUUAUUAGACACUAUAAAAGGUGUUAGUAUAUCUUAAUAGUAGGAUAGUAGCUAUAGAAGUUAGAAUCUGCUAAGGACUAUAUAACAACUUACCUACUAAAUAUACUAGCCUUAAAAAUAGAUAGCGCUUAAGCGACUUACUUAUACCUUACCUUUAGUGUAGAAAUAAUACGCUAAGGAGUAGGCAGACGUAGAGGUUAGUAACGAAGUCUAGGGCGUAAGCCUAAGUAGAACGGCCUCUAGUGUAGAUCUUAGUGGUAGUAGUAAAUACUUUAAUAAGAACUUAAAGGACUAGAGUAGGGAAAGGUUUUAUGUAAAUAGCAGUUAGAUAUAGGUUAGUUAAUCCUAAGCUAUAGGGAAGUUCUGUUUUAAAGGGGCACUUAUGCCCUAUAUAGCGAAAGGGAAGCUAGUUAAUAUUCUGGCACCUAGAUAUGGGUUUUACGUAGCAACGUAACUAAACGUGGAGAUAACGGCGGGGGCCCUAGGCAGAGUUCUCUUUUCUUCUUAACAGUUUAUUACCUUAAAAUUAGUUUGUCUAGAGCUAGGGUUUAACAGCUAGAAGAGCCUAGCACUUCUGUUAGGUCUAGUGCGCUCUUAAUGUCUCUUAAAAAUCUAUAGGAAGGAAUAAUUCUUACGCUAGGUCGUACUUAUAACUACAGCAGGUCUCUAAGGUAAACAGCCUUUAGUUAAUAGAAUAAUAUAGAUAAGGGAAGUUAGUAAAACAGAUCUGUAACUUUAGGAUAAGGAUUAGCUCUAAGGGUUAGGUACGUUAGGCUUUAGGCAGACGGCCUAGGAGCAGGUCGCUACUAGCUAGGUAACUAGCUAGAGGCUUCUAGU
rnacentral:rRNA from 1 species